rnacentral:tRNA from 1 species
UGUAGAGUGCCUGAUUAAAGGGUAAUCUUGAUAGGGUUAAUCAUGCGUCCCCCCGCCUCUAUAA